UCUGCCGCCCGUAAGGGAGGAAAGUCCGGACAGGACAGGGCGAUCCGCUGCGGAAAGCGCAGAAGGGGGUAACCUCUUGUAUGCCGUAACAGAAAACGACCGGCCUUUAGGCCAAGGGUGAAAACGCGAGGCAAGAGCUCACGACGUGCUGUGGCGACACAGUGCGGGUACGGCACCGGGACCUGCAAGACCAAAUAUACUGGCAGAUGAGGGCUGCCCGUCCGAUGCCAGGGGGUAGGUUGCGAAGAUAAAUGGCAGAAUUAAAAACAGAAACCGGCUUACGGCUCCUCCUUUUUU
rnacentral:RNase_P_RNA from 1 species